ACAGUGGGCAGCUGUAAGGACAGAAGAGGAAGUGGUAAGGGCUGGAAGAAUAAAAGCCCAGAGCUGCUAAGAUCAGGCUUCAUGGACUGGAACCUGGCGUAGAGACUUUGAGGAUCCCCUGGAAGUGGGGAGAACGUUAAUGGGACUUGGCCGAAGGACUAGGCUAUGAAGAGGAAAGUGCUGCAGCUCUCAGCAUAGGAGAAGCCCCAGAGUAAAUGAGGGGAAUGAUGGCCUGAGUAACUGCAGGAGAGGGAAUCAGACCAGGGGGUUGCAGAGCCAGUUCCCCAGAUGAGCCCUAAGGAGGUACUGCUAAUUGGGAAGGGCUGAAGCAAGAAUGGAUUGUGACAGCUACCACAAAAGAUAAGUCACAUGAACGAGUGAUCUUGAACUAUAGAACUUUGUGCAAGAGGAACUAUGAACUGCCGCAAGCAUUCCAGUCCAAGGCCACCAUGCCUGCUCAAAGAAGACUAUCACAUAUGGAGAAAGAGAGGUACAGAGAACAUGAGUGACUUACUCAGUGGCAGAGCCAAGAUGAGAACCCAAAUGUCCUGGCUCUAAGUCCAGGAACUCUAUCCAGUAGAUCACUUUGCUACAUGAUGAACCCAAGGGGGCAAGUGGAAGGAAAGUCCUUAAGUGUCAGUACAGCACGAAAACUAGGGUGACCAUAUUUCCCUAUGCUGAAUACGGGACAACUGGUAAAAUUACUCAAGUUCGACGGCAAUCAAUCAGAACUAUGAAGUACAAACGUU